rnacentral:misc_RNA from 1 species
AACUUUCGGCAAUGGAUCUCUUGGCUCUCGCAUCGAUGAAGAACGCAGCGAAUUGCGAUAUGUAAUGUGAAUUGCAGAUCUACAGUGAAUCAUCGAAUCUUUGAACGCACAUUGCGCUCCUUGGUGUUCCGAGGAGCAUGCCUGUUUGAGUGUCAGUAAAUUCUCAACCACCCCUCGAUUUGCUUCCAGGGGGGAGCUUGGAUAGUGGGGGCUGCCAGAGACCUGGAUUCGCGUCCGGGACUUCGGCCCUCCUGAAAUGCAUCGGCUUUGCGAUCGACCUGUGACUUUGCGCGACAAGGCUUUCGGCGUGAUAAUGAUCGCCGUCUUCCGAAGCGCAUGAAUGAGGGUCUCGCGCCUCCAAUAUGUCGACUCGCCCUCUACAGGGCCGAGUCCUCCUUCUUUGCAUUUGACCUCAAAUCAGGUAGGACUACCCGCUGAACUUAAGCAUAUCAAUAAGCGGAGGCU